CACUGAGCUCUUGUGUGUGUAUGUGUGUGUGUGUGUGUAUACUCUGUGGGUGUGUGUGAGACUCACUGAGCU